CAUUGCAACAGUGCCACGUCACCCAAACCCUGCGCGUGCCUCAAAGCCACGGCCACCCUUGACUCGGGCCUGCGGUCUUUUAGUUGGUCACGACAACGGUGCCGAGAAGGACGAUGAUGUGAGCACCGUCUCAGCUGAGCCAACCUGCUGGCCGGGUUCCCGGCCAUCGCCUCAAUCCUUCCUCCGGCAACAGUGGUGUUAACACAGCAGGAUGCUGAGUGGGAAUUUGCCAAUUGUCGGCGACCAGGAGGGAACAUUAAGGACCUGGAUGAAAUAAGUGCCCCUUUUUCUCAAGACAGCCAUCUUCAGUCGGGGCUGGCUACUUCCCUCAAUCAUCCUCACCAUCACCCUCGAAGAGAAGAGGGCUGUCACCUCCCCCCAGGACCUCACUGGCACCCUGAGCCGGGCCAAGACUAUAAGUAUAAAAACCUUCAGGUGCCGCCCAGUGCUCAGCAGCAGCCGACACACAGGUUCUGUGAAUCCACAGGAAAGAAGCUGAGAAGAGGCAUAGUCAGUUUUCCUUACCUCCUCUGGGCGGCUGAUCUCGAUUCCUUCUGGGCCCGUGAUUCCCAAAUCUAGC